UGCGUAGGCGGAUCAAUAAGUCAGUGGUGAAAUCUCUCGGCUCAACCGGGAAACUGCCAUUGAUACUGUUGAUCUUGAGUUCGGUUGAGGUAGGCGGAAUGUGUAAUGUAGCGGUGAAAUGCUUAGAUAUUACACAGAACACCAAUUGCAUAGGCAGCUUACUAGACCGACACUGACGCUGAGGCACGAAAGCGUGGGGAGCGAACAGGAUUAGAUACCCUGGUAGUCC
rnacentral:rRNA from 1 species